rnacentral:rRNA from 1 species
CGGACGGGUGAGUAAUGUAUGGGGAUCUGCCUGAUGGCGGGGGAUAACUACUGGAAACGGUAGCUAAUACCGCAUAAUGUCUACGGACCAAAGCGGGGGACCUCCGGGCCUCGCGCCAUCAGAUGAACCAUAUGGGAUUAGCUAGUAGGUAAGGUAACGGCUUACCUAGGCGACGAUCCCUAGCUGGUCUGAGAGGAUGAUCAGCCACACUGGGACUGAGACACGGCCCAG